CAGCCAGGUUUGAGGUGAAACCAUUCAUACCAGGCUUGUUUACCCCAAAUUUGAGAAUUUAACGCCACUCAUCUCCAUAUACUGUGUGCUAUGUGGUAGUCACCACCGUAAGUGUCUUAUAAAUAAAUAUCACCUCAUUGGCUCCCCAUCAUGGUCUUUUCAGGAGAGUCUGAUCAUCAUCUCUAUUUUAGGGAUGGAAAAUGGAGGUACAGAGGGGUCAAGGUGGUUGUCCAAGGUCCCAGGAGGCCUGGCACAAGAUACGGAUGUAAUAUAAUGGAGAAACAGACUGGUACUUGCCCUUAGGGGCCCUGCAGUCCAGUGCCCAGGUCAACAGGAGUGUCCUUCUGCAGAGGGAUGGGAGCAAAUGCUUCAGGCUCUGUGAGCCAUGGGGUCUCUGCUGCAGCUCCCAUGGUGUGUAAGCAGCUCCAGCUCCAGCUACUGUGUAAAAGAAUCUCUGGAGGAUCCUUGCAAUGGAGGAUUUGAAAUUGUAUUGGGGAGCAACAACAGUCACUCCUCCAAGUCACCAGGUGUCGCUGGUGUGCCAAAGCGGCGAAGUGUCAGAGUCAAAUUUUCCAGCUGGGUGUCUACUGGAAUCCAUCAGUCCUGUUUCUUCCUCAGCCUGGCUGUUUUGGAUCUACUAAAUCUUUUGAAUUUAGGCUCAGAAAUCAGUGUAUGCAAAAGUUCCUACAUAAAACCAUUCAUUCUUUGGGGUGGG
rnacentral:lncRNA from 1 species